AGCGAACGCUGGCGGCAGGCCUAACACAUGCAAGUCGAGCGCCGUAGCAAUACGGAGCGGCAGACGGGAGAGUAACACGUGGGAACGUACCCUUUGGUUCGGAACAACCCAGGGAAACUUGGGCUAAUACCGAAUAAGCCCUCACGGGGAAAGAUUUAUCGCCGAAGGAUCGGCCCGCGUCUGAUUAGCUAGUUGGUGGGGUAAUGGCCACCAAGGCGACGAUCAGUAGCUGGUCUGAGAGGAUGAUCAGCCUCACUGGGACUGAGACACGGCCCAGACUCCUACGGGAGGCAGCAGUGGGGAAUAUUGGACAAUGGGCGCAAGCUUGAUCCAGCCAUGCCGCGGGGGUGAUGAAGGCCCUAGGGUUGUAAAGCCCUUUCGGCGGGGAAGAUAAUGACGGUACCCGCAGAAGAAGCCCCGGCUAACUUCGUGCCAGCAGCCGCGGUAA
rnacentral:rRNA from 1 species